ACGGGAGGCAGCAGUGGGGAAUAUUGGACAAUGGGGGAAACCCUGAUCCAGCGACGCCGCGUGAGUGAAGAAGUAUUUCGGUAUGUAAAGCUCUAUCAGCAAGGAAGAAAAUGACGGUACUUGACUAAGAAGCUCCGGCUAAAUACGUGCCAGCAGCCGCGGUAGUACGUAUGGAGCAAGCGUUAUCCGGAUUUACUGGGUGUAAAGGGAGCGUAGACGGCAAAGCAAGUCUGAAGUGAAAUCUAUGGGCUUAACCCAUAAACUGCUUUGGAAACUGUUUAGCUAGAGUGCAGGAGAGGUAAGUGGAAUUCCUAGUGUAGCGGUGAAAUGCGUAGAUAUUAGGAGGAACACCAGUGGCGAAGGCGGCUUACUGGACUGUAACUGACGUUGAGGCUCGAAAGCGUGGGGAGCAAACAGGAUUAGAUACCCUGGUA
rnacentral:rRNA from 1 species